rnacentral:lncRNA from 1 species
GAACAAACACAUCUUCAUUUGCAUCCAGCAAGAUGUAACCUUAGCAACAGUGUGUAUUUUUGGACUUCUUUUCAUUUAAUGCAAAUGAGGCACCACCGAUAGACCCGGAAUCUGACGACAGAAUUCAACGUGACCAAUUCAUGUGUCUGAGGCCAUGUCUCUUGCCAGCCCAGCAAGAUUCUGAUUUCCUGUCAUCAGCAUGAAUCGAAGUCAUGCUGGCCCAGAGGACUUCGGAGCCUCCUUCGGAGGCUUGGAGCAAGACUGAUCGGAAAGUGCUAUUUGUCUAUCAUAUUGUCUCAUAUAGAAUCCCCACCCUGAAAAUUCUUCAGCCUUCACACUUAUUACAACAGCUGUCGUGGUCAGUUUAUUGGUCCGACACUCCCCGAGAGCUUCUUAAAGGCAAAGGACUGUGAUCUCCUCAUCUUUUAAUUUCAGUGUUUGACACAGAGGUGAGACUCAAUCAAAGUUGGUUGCAUGAAUGAAAUAAUACAUUUUUAAAACAAUAAGACAAUAGCCAGAGACUUCCCCUACACCAAACAGAAUCAAUUUAUUAAACUUGGUUACUCUGAUAUUCCAGGUUGAUAGACUACAAAUUGGACAUUUAAAGUAAUGAUAGUCUUCACCUCAGAAAUUCUGAAACCUCUAGCAGAUUCAUGGGGUUUGAAACCUUGCUGAGAGUUAAUUAGCUUGAAUAUAGAAUGCUCUGAGGGACUAUGGCUGCAAGGGUGGGAAGAGAUGAGCCCAAGAGGUAGCAAGAUGGAGAAGCAGGGGGCAUCUGCCAAGCAGGUGCUUUCAGCCUGCUGGAGCGGUACUAACAGGGGUGGGAGCCCCCGUGAGACAGCGCUGAGGGUAAGCUAGAGCAAGGAGGGGAGCUCUUGCUGGAUCCUGCUCAUGCUGUGGGUGCUGUCCUAGGUGGGAAUGUAACUGCUUCCGCUGCUAGUGUCCUCCUCUUCUACGCAGGCCCGUCUGAGGACUCCAAGCUGGCAGACAGUACCGAUUUGUCCAUUGUAGAGUGUGGCGAAGACUCUUCUGGCAGCAGUAAUCCAAGAACUGCUGAAUGAAAAGGAUCCUAAUGUAACAAAGAGCAAGCCCUCUUCAUCUGAUUUCACAACUGCCAUAAUUGGAAACAGCGCUCUAGACUCCAACAGCUCCCCCUUGCCCUCAACCAAAGAAUCUUAAAUAGCUUAAGAGUUUAAAGGAAAAUGAGGAUUUGCAUGGUCCCUUCUUUUAUUCUCGUUGUAGGGUGUGUGUAGCUUGGCUAGAUCAUUAGGGAUUGUAGCCAUGUGUUCCCUCUCAGCCCUGACACUGCUGGGUACAUGGUGGGAAAACUUGGGUCAGUCAUUCCCUGACUGGGGACCUCAGUUUCCUCAUCUAUACCACAGGGGAGGUCAUUGAUUGCUCUCUAAGGAGUUUCAUAGCUUACCAGGUCUAGGAUUCUGUAACUGAGAACUGCACUUCCUGAUUCUAUUAGAGGCCAUGAUUUAUCUACUGCUUUGGAAGCUGACAAAGUUUUUCCAGUAAGGCGUUGAGACUCCCCGACCCCUCACUAAAAAUGAUGGAGGUUCAUCUUUUGAGUCCGUUAUUAUGCAUUUUGCCUAGAGACACGAGGACAACUUUCAUUCCUGGUGACUUUUAUUCCUGGAGCCGUACACUUGAAAAAUCACAUCAAAAUAAAGAUAUUUCAUCCGUUACUCCUUCUUCCUGU